rnacentral:rRNA from 1 species
AUGCCUGAAAUAGUUGAUCUGGACAAGCUUACUCGGGAUCCAUCUAAAAGGAAGAGACUUACAGAUUUUAAUGUCAAUCAGCAUGAGGAGAUUAGGAGAAAGUACCUGGCAUGGGGGGCAUAUCAACCUUGUCCCUCCAAGUUUAAACCGAGAUGGAUUGGUAAGAGUAAGCGGUAUUUUAAUCCCGAAUGGUAUGAUCUGCAUCGUAAUUGGCUAGAGUACAGUGAGGUAGAGGACGAGGCAUAUUGCUUGUACUGCUAUUUGUUUAGGGACAACAUUAAAGGUAACAAACCUGGCCAUGAUGCAUUUGUGGUUGAUGGCUUUGUCAACUGGAAGAAGGCAAUAGAGAGAUUUGCAACUCAUGUGGGCGAUCGUGAUAGUUUUCAUAACAAGGCACUAAAGAAAUGUGAGGAUCUAAUGAGAACAGAACAAUCAAUUCCUGUAGCCUUGUAUAAACAGACCGACCUUGAGAAGAAUGAGCAUCUUAUCCGGUUAAAUGCUGCAAUUGAUGUAUGCAGAUACUUGUUGCAUCAAGGACAACCUUUUCGUGGCCAUGAUGAGUCAAAAGAGUCUACAAAUAAAGGUAACUACAGGGAGUUGAUGGAUUAUACAAUUAUGCACAAUGAUGUUAUAGCCAAAGCAUUCAAAAAUGCUCCACUUAAUAAUCAGUUACUGUCUUCAACAAUUCAGAAGGAUAUUACUGAGUGCUUUGCAGAAGAAGUAUUGAGUUGUAUUUUGAAGGAGCUUGACAAUGGCGUGUUCAGCUUAUUAGUUGAUGAAUGUCGUGAUGUUUCCGACAAAGAGCAAAUGGCAGUGGUUCUACGCUAUGUAGAUACAUGUGGGCUAUCAAAUGAGAGGUUUGUUGGUGUUCUUCAUGUGGAGGAAACAACAUCUGCUUAUCUCAAGUCUAAAAUUGAUUUUAUAAUUGCAAAGCUUGGCUUGAGUCUACAACAAGUGAGAGGACAAGGUUAUGAUGGGGCCAGUAAUAUGGCAGGUGAGUUUAAUGGUUUGCAAACCAAGAUUAUGAGGGAGAACAGCUCAGCUUAUUACGUACAUUGUUUUGCUCAUAAACUUAACUUGGUUGUUGUGGCCAUUGCAAAAAAGAUAUUUGAUGUUGGAGAUUUCUUUGAUAUGAUAUCAUUAUUGGUGAAUGUCGUUGGAUCAUCUUGCAAGAGAAAGGAUAAACUUCGAGAGAACCAUCGAGAAGAAGUGAGGAAAGCAAUUGGUAAGGGAGAGAUUGCUACAGGUUUGUCGAAGAUGUUUACCUCGGUGAUAAAAGUUCUAGAGUAUGUGGAGGAAGAGGGCUCAGAUGCUACUAAGCAACGUCAAGCCAGUGCUUUAACAAAUGGGCUGUCAAAAACAUUUCAGAGAAAGGAUAUGGACAUUGUAAAUGCUAUAUCAGAUGUGGAAUCUGUUAAGCGAGAGCUAGAUAAGCUUAGAUCUCAACAUGGAUGGAAUUCUCUCCUGAGCAAGGUAUUUGAUUGUUUUUUUGCUGUCUUGGAUUUAUUGGCAGAAGAACUAAAUCGCAGAUUCAAUGAGGUAAACAAUGAGUUGCUUUGUUGUAUGUCUGCUUUCAACCCAAGCGGUCAGUUUAGUCACUAUGAUCAUGAGAAGUUGUUGAAGUUGGCUAAGUUUUAUCCUAAUGACUUUAGUGAUACUGAGUUGGAGCAUCUUGAGAAGGAGCUUUGCCUGUACAUAGAUAAUGUACGCAAUGAUACAAGAUUUGCUAGCUUGGAAACUAUCAAUGAUCUGGCUAAACUGAUGGUAUCUACGAAGAAGCACUUUUCUUAUCCUCUUGUCUAUCGACUUUUGAAAUUAGUACUGACUCUUCCUGUUGCCACUGCAACCGUUGAGAGAUGCUUCUCCGCAAUGAAGCUUGUGAAGAAUGCUUUACGUAACAAGAUGGGUGAUGAUUAUUUGAGCAAUAGCCUUAUUUGCUUCGUAGAAAAGGAAAUGCUAGAUAAUAUUAUUAAUGAGGUGAUAGUUAAACGCUUUCAUGCGAAAAGCCGACGUGGGAUGAAACGGAAGGAGGUAAUGUUCUCAAGCUUAUUUUAUUUAUUUAUCAGUAUUUACAUUCUCUCAUAUUUAAAGAUGUUUCUUUUUCAUGCAGCUUGA